CAAUAAGCGGAGGAAAAGAAACCAACAGGGAUUGCCCCAGUAACGGCGAGUGAAGCGGCAACAGCUCAAAUUUGAAAUCUGGCUCCCCCCUGGGGGGCCCGAGUUGUAAUUUGGAGAGGAUGCUUUGGGCGCGGCGCCUUCCGAGUUCCUUGGAACAGGACGCCAGAGAGGGUGAGAGCCCCGUACGGUCGGACGCCUAGCCCUUGUAAAGCUCCUUCAACGAGUCGAGUAGUUUGGGAAUGCUGCUCAAAAUGGGAGGUAAAUUUCUUCUAAAGCUAAAUACCGGCCAGAGACCGAUAGCGCACAAGUAGAGUGAUCGAAAGAUGAAAAGCACUUUGAAAAGAGGGUUAAACAGCACGUGAAAUUGUUGAAAGGGAAGCGCUUGUGGCCAGACGUGCGCCCCGUGGCUCACCCGCCGUUCUGCGGCGGGGCACGCCGCGGCGGCGCAGGCCAGCAUCGGCUCUCCCAGGGGGACAAAGGCCGCGGGAACGUAGCUCCUUCGGGAGUGUUAUAGCCCGCGGCGCCAUACCCCUGGGGGGGCCGAGG
rnacentral:rRNA from 1 species